ACGCUGGCGGCAGGCCUAACACAUGCAAGUCGAGCGGUAGAGAGAAGCUUGCUUCUCUUGAGAGCGGCGGACGGGUGAGUAAUGCCCAGGAAUCUGCCUGGUAGUGGGGGAUAACGUUCGGAAACGGACGCUAAUACCGCAUACGUCCUACGGGAGAAAGCAGGGGACCUUCGGCCCUUGCGCUAUCAGAUGAGCCUAGGUCGGAUUAGCUAGUUGGUGAGGUAAUGGCUCACCAAGGCGACGAUCCGUAACUGGUCUGAGAGGAUGAUCAGUCACACUGGAACUGAGACACGGUCCAGACUCCUACGGGAGGCAGCAGUGGGGAAUAUUGGACAAUGGGCGAAAGCCUGAUCCAGCCAUGCCGCGUGUGUGAAGAAGGUCUUCGGAUUGUAAAGCACUUUAAGUUGGGAGGAAGGGCAGUUACCUAAUACGUGAUUGUUUUGACGUUACCGACAGAAUAAGCACCGGCUAACUCUGUGCCAGCAGCCGCGGUAAUACAGAGGGUGCAAGCGUUAAUCGGAAUUACUGGGCGUAAAGCGCGCGUAGGUGGUUUGUUAAGUUGGAUGUGAAAUCCCCGGGCUCAACCUGGGAACUGCAUUCAAAACUGACUGACUAGAGUAUGGUAGAGGGUGGUGGAAUUUCCUGUGUAGCGGUGAAAUGCGUAGAUAUAGGAAGGAACACCAGUGGCGAAGGCGACCACCUGGACUGAUACUGACACUGAGGUGCGAAAGCGUGGGGAGCAAAC
rnacentral:rRNA from 1 species